GGUAGUAGCAUUUUCAUUACAAGUGACUAAAAGAACAGCUGAUGGUGCAGCAGUGCUUGCUUUUCCUUAGAAUUUUGCAUUCUGUUUGCAGAUAAGGUCCCAAAGACAGCAGAAAAUUUUCGUGCUCUGAGCACCGGAGAGAAAGGAUUUGGUUAUAAGGGUUCCUGCUUUCACAGAAUUAUUCCAGGGUUUAUGUGUCAGGGUGGUGACUUCACACGCCAUAAUGGCACUGGUGGCAAGUCCAUCUAUGGGGAGAAAUUUGAAGAUGAGAACUUCAUCCUAAAGCAUACAGGUCCUGGCAUCUUGUCCAUGGCAAAUGCUGGACCCAACACAAAUGGUUCCCAGUUUUUCAUCUGCACUGCCAAGACUGAGUGACUGGAUCUCGCUCUUAUCUCCCAGGCUGGAGUGCAUUCGUGCCAUCAGCUCACUGCAACCUCCUCCCGGGUUCAAGCAAUUCUUCUGCCUCAGCCUCCCAAGUAGCUGGGACUAUAGGUUGGAUGGCAAGCAUGUGGUCUUUGGCAAAGUGAAAGAAGGCAUGAAUAUUGUGGAGGCCAUGGAGCGCUUUGGGUCCAGGAAUGGCAAGACCAGCAAGAAGAUCACCAUUGCUGACUGUGGACAACUUGAAUAAAUUUGACUUGUGUUUUAUCUUAACCACCAGACCAUUCCUUCCGUAGCUCAGGAGAGCACCCCUCCACCCCAUUUGCUCGCAGUAUCCUAGAAUCUUUGUGCUCUCGCUGCAGUUCCCUUUGGGUUCCAUGUUUUCCUUGUUCCUCCCAUGCCUAGCUGGAUUGCAGAGUUAAGUUUAUGAUUAUGAAAUAAAAACUAAAUA
rnacentral:sRNA from 1 species